AUUGAACGCUGGCGGCAGGCCUAACACAUGCAAGUCGAGCGGAUGAAGGGUGCUUGCUCGUGGUUACAGGGGCGGAGGGGCGGGUGAUGGCUAGGAAUCUGGGAGGUUGCUUGUGAUAACGUGCGGAAACGGGCGCUAAUACCGCAUAAGUGCAGACGGCGUAAGGGGGGGAGCAUCGGAUCUUCGGCCAUCAGGUGAGUCUAGGUCGGAUUAGCUAGUUGGUGGGGUAAAGGCCCACCAAGGCGACGAUCCGUAGCUGGUCUGAGAGGAUGAGCAGCCACACUGGAACUGAGACACGGUCCAGACUCCUACGGGAGGCAGCAGUGGGGAAUAUUGGACAAUGGGCGCAAGCCUGAUCCAGCCAUACCGCGUGGGUGAAGAAGGCCUUCGGGUUGUAAAGCCCUUUUAUUUGGGAAGAAGAGCAGUAAGUUAAUACCUCGCUGUUUUGACGUUACCAAAAGAAUAAGCACCGGCUAACUUCGUG
rnacentral:rRNA from 1 species